rnacentral:rRNA from 1 species
ACUUCUUUAGUACCGUAGCUAACGCGUGAAGUUCGCCGCCUGGGGAGUACGGUCGCAAGAUUAAAACUCAAAGGAAUUGACGGGGACCCGCACAAGCGGUGGAUGAUGUGGAUUAAUUCGAUGCAACGCGAAAAACCUUACCUACCCUUGACAUGCCAGGAACCCUGCUGAGAGGUGGGGGUGCUCGAAAGAGAGCCUGGGCACAGGUGCUGCAUGGCUGUCGUCAGCUCGUGUCGUGAGAUGUUGGGUUAAGUCCCGCAACGAGCGCAACCCUUGUCAUUAGUUGCCAUCAUUUAGUUGGGCACUCUAAUGAGACUGCCGGUGACAAACCGGAGGAAGGUGGGGAUGACGUCAAGUCCUCAUGGCCCUUAUGGGUAGGGCUUCACACGUCAUACAAUGGUCGGUACAGAGGGUUGCCAAGCCGCGAGGUGGAGCCAAUCCCAGAAAGCCGAUCGUAGUCCGGAUCGUAGUCUGCAACUCGACUGCGUGAAGUCGGAAUCGCUAGUAAUCGUGGAUCAGCAUGCCACGGUGAUACGUUCCCGGGUCUUGUACACACCGCCCGUCACACCAUGGGAGUGGGUUUCACCAGAAGUAGGUAGCCUAACCGCGAGGGGGCGCUUACCACGGUGGGAUUCAUGACUGGGGUGAAGUCGUAACAAG